AAACCUCAACUCCAAGUUUGGUUAAUCUAAGCUUGGAUGUUGGAUUUGGGUGUUUGUCAAUGCCAAGUUGACUCGCCUUAAAAAUGUAAGCUGGAUUAGUCUUUGACUGGUUCCCCUAGGCGUAAUAAGUAUUUCGCUUAGGACACAAGUUCGCUUGUGGCCAGGACUUGACAAUAGUCUGCUUUCUAUACCCCAUACACACAUGUGUGUAUAAUUCUUGAC
rnacentral:misc_RNA from 1 species